rnacentral:tRNA from 1 species
AGGUAAGAUGGCCGAGCAGGCAUUAGACUGUAAAUCUAACCACAGAGGGUUUACCUCUUCUUAUC